GGGGUAGGGAUUUUAACGGCGCUAACUUAAGGAUGUAGGAAUAUAAUGCACAUCCAAAGUGCAUACUCUUUAGUGUUUGUGAAUUGAAACUGGAAAAUGGUUGUUUUAUAGGUUUUGAAACUCCGUAAAUAUAUGUAUGCAAGACAAUGAUAUCUAUCCAAAAUCAAACUAAAAUCUCCAUCAUGCACUGUGGUUCAAAACUUUAAAAAAAAACUUUCUCCAAAUAUCCUGGAUUUCUACCAAAC
rnacentral:lncRNA from 1 species